rnacentral:misc_RNA from 1 species
AACGCACCUUGCGCUCCGUGGUAUUCCGCGGAGCAUGCCUGUUUGAGUGUCGCGCCCCCCUCUCAACCCCGUUGGCGUUAUGCGCUCGACGCGGGCUUGGAUCCUGGCCGGUUCGCCUGUAAGGCGACGGCCGAAAGACCUUGCGCCUCUGGCGGCACGCGGUCUGACCGGAACGUUGUACGCACCUCGUUCUCGGGACGCGUGCCCUGUUGGGCUGCGAAUCGCGCACUCUAGUGACCUCGACCUCAAAUCAGGCAGGACGACCCGCUGAACUUAA